rnacentral:rRNA from 1 species
GAUGAACGCUGGCGGCGUGCCUGAUACAUGCAAGUCGAGCGAACGGACGAGAAGCUUGCUUCUCUGAUGUUAGCGGCGGACGGGUGAGUAACACGUGGAUAACCUACCUAUAAGACUGGGAUAACUUCGGGAAACCGGAGCUAAUACCGGAUAAUAUUUUGAACCGCAUGGUUCAAAAGUGAAAGACGGUCUUGCUGUCACUUAUAGAUGGAUCCGCGCUGCAUUAGCUAGUUGGUAAGGUAACGGCUUACCAAGGCAACGAUGCAUAGCCGACCUGAGAGGGUGAUCGGCCACACUGGAACUGAGACACGGUCCAGACUCCUACGGGAGGCAGCAGUAGGGAAUCUUCCGCAAUGGGCGAAAGCCUGACGGAGCAACGCCGCGUGAGUGAUGAAGGUCUUCGGAUCGUAAAACUCUGUUAUUAGGGAAGAACAUAUGUGUAAGUAACUGUGCACAUCUUGACGGUACCUAAUCAGAAAGCCACGGCUAACUAC